AACGAACGCUGGCGGCAUGCCUAACACAUGCAAGUCGAACGGGACCUUCGGGUCUAGUGGCGCACGGGUGCGUAACGCGUGGGAACCUGCCCUUAGGUUCGGAAUAACUCCCCGAAAGGGGUGCUAAUACCGGAUAAUGUCUUCGGACCAAAGAUUUAUCGCCUUUGGAUGGGCCCGCGUUGGAUUAGCUAGUUGGUAGGGUAAAAGCCUACCAAGGCGACGAUCCAUAGCUGGUCUGAGAGGAUGAUCAGCCACACUGGGACUGAGACACGGCCCAGACUCCUACGGGAAGCAGCAGUGGGGAAUAUUGGACAAUGGGCGAAAGCCUGAUCCAGCAAUGCCGCGUGAGUGAUGAAGGCCUUAGGGUUGUAAAGCUCUUUUACCCGGGAUGAUAAUGACAGUACCGGGAGAAUAAGCUCCGGCUAACUCCGUG
rnacentral:rRNA from 1 species